rnacentral:rRNA from 1 species
UACGUAGGGUGCAAGCGUUAAUCGGAAUUACUGGGCGUAAAGCGUGCGCAGGCGGCUUUGCAAGACAGAUGUGAAAUCCCCGGGCUCAACCUGGGAACUGCAUUUGUGACUGCAUGGCUGGAGUACGGCAGAGGGGGAUGGAAUUCCGCGUGUAGCAGUGAAAUGCGUAGAUAUGCGGAGGAACACCGAUGGCGAAGGCAAUCCCCUGGGCCUGUACUGACGCUCAUGCACGAAAGCGUGGGGAGCAAACAGG